GGAGGUACGGUUUAUGAUGGUUUUUUCUUUAAAAGUUAUAAUUUAAUAUAAUUUUUAAAAAUAAUUUAAAAAAUAAUUUUUUGGAUUUCAAAAUAAAAUUUUGAAAAAAUCAAAAAGUUUGAAUUGAAAAACAUAUUAUUCAAAAAAUAAUAAUUUUUUUACCUUUUUUUAUUCAAAUAAUUAUUUAUAUUUAUAUGUGUAGAAAGUAGGGGUAAAAAGAUCUUUUACCUCUUUAAUGAAAAUAGUUUGGUCAUUUUCUCCUUUCUGUGCUAUUUUGUUUAGAAAAAACUCAUUUGGUGUCUUUUAAGGGAAUUUUUAUUAUAUUUAUGUAUUUUUAAAUAUAAAAAAACAUUUAAGUGGUGAACAUGUAAUUUCCCCAAAACUUUGUUGGUGUUUUACGUUAACAACUUUGAUUUAGAUGAUAAAUCUUCAAUUUAAUUGCUAACUUUAUAAUGUACUGUUAUAUUUUAAGUAAUGCAAUUUUAGAUUUCUCUUAAACAAAUAACAUUUAUAUUUCAGUUUUUUUUAGUUCAUAAAUUUAAUAACUGCUUUGUUUGUUUAAACUUCACAAAUCCCAAUAAUAAACCAAAAUAAAAUAUAUGAUACUGUAAAUAAAAUAACAAUACGAUCAAUAAAAACAAGCUACAUCAAAUUAAAAUCAAAUAAGAAUUUUAAAAACAAAUAUCAUGACAAAGUUGAAUAUUUUGUAAAGUAAAAUAUGUUAAAACAUCACAACCCACUAACUCAAAAAUACAUGC
rnacentral:lncRNA from 1 species